rnacentral:rRNA from 1 species
UAAUUAUUAUCAGGAAACGACUGCUAAGACUGGAUAGGAGACAAGAAGGCAUCUUCUUGUUUUUAAAAGACCUAGCAAUAGGUAUGCUUAGGGAGGAGCUUGCGUCACAUUAGUUAGUUGGUGGGGUAAAGGCCUACCAAGACUAUGAUGUGUAGCCGGGCUGAGAGGUUGAACGGCCACAUUGGGACUGAGACACGGCCCAAACUCCUACGGGAGGCAGCAGUAGGGAAUUUUCGGCAAUGGAGGAAACUCUGACCGAGCAACGCCGCGUGAACGAUGAAGUAUUUCGGUACGUAAAGUUCUUUUAUUAGGGAAGAAUAAAUGAUGGAAAAAUCAUUCUGACGGUACCUAAUGAAUAAGCCCCGGCUAACUAUGUGCCAGCAGCCGCGGUAAUACAUAGGGGGCAAGCGUUAUCCGGAAUUAUUGGGCGUAAAGGGUGCGUAGGCGGUUAAGUAAGUUUAUGGUCUAAGUGCAAUGCUCAACAUUGUGAUGCUAUAAAAACUGUUUAGCUAGAGUAAGAUAGAGGCAAGUGGAAUUCCAUGUGUAGUGGUAAAAUGCGUAAAUAUAUGGAGGAACACCAGUAGCGAAGGCGGCUUGCUGGGUCUUUACUGACGCUGAGGCACGAAAGCGUGGGGAGCAAACAGGAUUAGAUACCCUGGUAGUCCACGCCGUAAACGAUGAGUACUAAACGUUGGGUAAAACCAGUGUUGAAGUUAACACAUUAAGUACUCCGCCUGAGUAGUACGUACGCAAGUAUGAAACUUAAAGGAAUUGACGGGACUCCGCACAAGCGGUGGAUCAUGUUGUUUAAUUCGAAGGUACCCGAAAAACCUUACCAGGUCUUGACAUGCUUCUGCAAAGCUGUAGAAACACAGUGGAGGUUAUCAGUUGCACAGGUGGUGCAUGGUUGUCGUCAGCUCGUGUCGUGAGAUGUUGGGUUAAGUCCCGCAACGAGCGCAACCCUUAUUGUUAGUUACCAGCACGUAAUGGUGGGGACUUUAGCAAGACUGCCAGUGAUAAAUUGGAGGAAGGUGGGGACGACGUCAAAUCAUCAUGCCCCUUAUGACCUGGGCUACAAACGUGAUACAAUGGCUGUUACAAAGGGUAGCUGAAGCGCAAGUUUUUGGCGAAUCUCAAAAAAACAGUCUCAGUUCGGAUUGAAGUCUGCAACUCGACUUCAUGAAGUUGGAAUCGCUAGUAAUCGCGAAUCAGCAUGUCGCGGUGAAUACGUUCUCGGGGUUUGUACACACCGCCCGUCAAUCAUGGUUU